CUACGGGCGGCUCCAGUGAGGAAUAUUGCACAAUGAGGGGAACCCUGAUGCAGCAACGCCGCGUGGAGGAUGACGCAUUUCGGUGUGUAAACUCCUUUUAUAUGUCAAGAAAAUGACGGUAGCAUAUGAAUAAGCACCGGCUAACUCCGUGCCAGCAGCCGCGGUAAUACGGAGGGUGCAAGCGUUACUCGGAAGUCACUGGGCGUAAAGGACGCGUAGGCGGGUUGGAAAGUCAGGUGUGAAAUCCUACAGCUUAACUGUAGAACUGCACUUGAAACUUCUAAUCUAGAGUAUGGGAGGGGAAGAUGGAAUUAGUGGUGUAGGGGUAAAAUCCGUAGAUAUCACUAGGAAUACCUAAAGCGAAGGCGAUCUCCUGGAACAUUACUGACGCUAAGGCGUGAAAGCGUGGGGAGCAAACAGGAUUAGAUACCCCAGUAGUC
rnacentral:rRNA from 1 species